ensembl:lncRNA
AACCAGAAGCACAAAGAACAAACUUCCCAGUGGGACACAAAAUAAAAGGGAUGGUGCCAGCAUGCCUUACCAUUCAUGAUAAUCUUCCCAGAAAACUACACACAGGCCCUGGACACAUGGAAGAGUGUGGACAAAUAUUUGUUUUACUUGCUGUGCUCAACAAGGAGUCCAAUUUUAGGGUUGACUAAAGCUACCUGGAUUGGCUUGGUCUGGCAUCACAAAGAUUUGUUCGAACUUCUCUGAGUGAAUACUCUGACUCCUGCAAUAGGUGAGAAAAAGUGAAAUUGGACUACAGGUCUCCAUAGAGUGGCUGCCUCCAGUCACCUUCACCAUGAUGAAAAGGAUCUAUUGAUGACCCUUUGAAGAAUGGCGUGGGCAUGGGAUCUGGUUAGAAAUCUCCAGUAAUUAUGUCAGCUUUGCCACUGAAACCAAAUGUUUUGAGCAGUUUCUGAGCUUUAGUUUCCCAUAUAUAAGUAGGAAUAAUAAUAUACCUUGCUCACAGGCUGGUUGUUAAGCUCAAAUAAAAUAAGUGAAAGUAUUUUGUAGGGCCA